GCCGAAGUGGCGGAAUUGGCAGACGCGCUAGAUUCAGGUUCUAGUGGUGGCAACACCGUAAGGGUUCAAGUCCCUUCUUCGGCA
rnacentral:tRNA from 3 species